AUACGGAGGAUGCGAGCGUUAUCCGGAUUUAUUGGGUUUAAAGGGAGCGUAGGCGGGAGCUUAAGUCAGCGGUUAAAUGGUGCGGCUCAACCGUGCCCUGCCGUUGAAACUGGGUUUCUUGAGAGUGCAAGAGGCGGAUGGAAUUCAUGGUGUAGCGGGGAAAUGCUUAGAUAUCAUGAAGAACUCCGAUUGCGAAGGCAGUCCGCUGGGGCACGUCUGACGCUGAUGCUCGAAGGUGCGGGAAUCAAACAGGAUUAGAUACCCUGGUAGUCCGCACGGUAAACGAUGAUUACCCGCUGUCGGCGGUAGACAGUCGGCGGCCAAGCGAAAGCGAUAAGUAAUCCACCUGGGGAGUGCGCCGGCAACGGUGAAACUCAAAGGAAUUGACGGGG
rnacentral:rRNA from 1 species